GAUGAACGCUGGCGGCGUGCCUAACACAUGCAAGUCGAGCGAUCUUCUUCGGAAGAGAGCGGCGGACGGGUGAGUAACGCGUGGGUAACCUGCCUCAUACACAUGGAUAACAUACCGAAAGGUAUGCUAAUACAAGAUAAUAUAAGAGAUUCGCAUGGAUUUCUUAUCAAAGCUCCGGCGGUAUGAGAUGGACCCGCGUCUGAUUAGCUAGUUGGUAAGGUAACGGCUUACCAAGGCGACGAUCAGUAGCCGACCUGAGAGGGUGAUCGGCCACAUUGGAACUGAGACACGGUCCAAACUCCUACGGGAGGCAGCAGAGGGGAAUAUUGCACAAUGGGCGAAAGCCUGAUGCAGCAACGCCGCGUGAGCGAUGAAGGCCUUCGGGUCGUAAAGCUCUGUCCUCAAGGAAGAUAAUGACGGUACUUGAGGAGGAAGCCCCGGCUAACUACGUGCCAGCCGCCGCAGUAA
rnacentral:rRNA from 1 species